AUUUGGAAUUUUCUCCUUCGUCUUCAGGUAGUGCUUCACCCUGAACAUGAUCCAGCUGCGACUCUAAUAGUUGUCCGUAUGGGUUGAGUGUACAUCUAUGUAUAGCUCACAUUUGAAUAGAAAAUUGACUCUGAAAGAAUGGUGAAAUGACACUUGUAUAGCCUCGGGAAUCGGUUCAAAUGCCAUUGGCGCACAAAGAAAAAGUGGACACAGAUUUGCCUGGACAACAAAAUAGAUCUUGGUCAUUUCCAACUGACCUGUUUUGGUAAGUUAAAAAGUCCAUUUUAAUUGCUUGUCCAAAAUCCAAAUGUACAGGAGGGAAUCGGAGUAGUGCUGAUUACUAAUGAUGGGGGUGGUUGAGAUAUUAUCCACCAAUUAGGUUGCAUUCUUUUUAAUGUAAGCAGUUUCUUCUGCAAUUGAACAUCAAAGGACAAUUGAGGGGAGGAAAUAUGCAAGCAUAAAAAGACAAUUGAUAAUUGUUCCACUGAGCUCCAUGGAAACGCUCAGUUACUGUCUUGUGAUUUGAUGUCCACAACUUAAACAUAAUUUUUAAGCGAAGCACACUGUAUUCUUCUAAAA
rnacentral:misc_RNA from 1 species